UACGUAGGGGGGCAAGCGUUGUCCGGAUUUAUUGGGCGUAAAGAGCGUGUAGGCGGCCAGACAGGUCUGCUGUGAAAACUCGAGGCUCAACCUCGAGACGCCGGUGGAAACCGUCUGGCUAGAGUCCGGAAGAGGAGAGUGGAAUUCCUGGUGUAGCGGUGAAAUGCGCAGAUAUCAGGAAGAACACCCGUGGCUAAGGCGGCUCUCUAGUACGGUACUGACGCUGAGACGCGAAAGCGUGGGGAGCGAACAGG
rnacentral:rRNA from 1 species